GCGUGUCUUCAAAACAAGAGAUGGGUUAAAAAAAUUGCUGUAGAUUUGAUGAGUUUCAUCUUUGGUGAUCUGAUUGAGACUCCAAGAGAUGCUACACAUGUGUACGUCCCAAAAUCCGUGAAUUUUAAAUCAAUGAUGUCCAAGUUUGUUGUUCCCGGAGAGACAUCAGGAUCAGUCUGUGUAAUGACCAUCCGCUCAGAACUUCUUAAUGGACGACCAUUUUUAAACCAACUAAAUGUUAGCUCCUCAGAAGGAACAGCUUCUACUUGGCAAGAUAUUUUCACCUCACGGCCAAUCUGGAUGUUGUCAUCUUUGUGAUAAGGAUCUGGUGUGAUCCAAAAUCGUCCUUUUUUUAAUGCUACAACAUAAAAAUUCCAUAAGGAGUUAGUGUUACUUUCAUAACUUUAAGGAUUCAUUAACUGUAGAUAAUCAUCUCUGAGCUGAAAUAAAGUAAAACCAAAUAAAGUGUACAUAUAUUUCUUUUUUAUAUCCAAGUUGUGUGUACAUCAAAAAACCUCAUGCAGGUACCCAGAAAUAAUCUAAAAAAAUCUAAGUCAAUUAAAGACUGUGAACACUGAUUUUUAUAAAUUUGGUAAGAUUUUCCAGUGAUAUCAAAAGUAAUGCCUUAAGUCUAUGUGCAAUUAUACUUAAAUAUUGACAUUGAAUUUUGAACAAAUGACAGAUUCUAUGUAGUCAUAGCAUAUUAAAAUUAAAAGUAAGAAUAUGGAUCUCAUUUAACCUAAUACUUUCCCUAUGUCACUACUUAGUUAUUGUAUAAUUUUCCAAACAACUCAAAUAUUACACAAAGGACAUAAGAACAUUCUCCUAAGGUUGUAUCUAUAUGUUGAUCAACACUAGUUCGGUAAUAUUUGAGUCCAUUCACAUUCAUGAAACAUUUUCAUAUAUUGAAAUAAUCUGAACUGAAAAAGAAAACCUGGGGCAAAAAGCAUGUUCAAAACAUUUACUAUGAACUUUUCUAUUCUACCAUACAUAGAUGUUUCCAGUUAAAACUGUUUGUUGGCUCUCUAAUGCGGAUGACCAAAAGAACCUCUCCACAGACAGCUUAGAAAACAGGUAUACAGCUGUAGGCUGAAAAUCCAAGGAAAAAUCUGCAGUGAAUGGUCCAGAGUACUCGACUGGAAACACUGAAAGGUUAUGUCCUAGGAAUGGGGCAAAUAGCAGACAAAUACAGCAUUAACAAGCCAGUCUUCAAUAUGCUCAGCCACUGAUUGGAAUGAAACAGUAAGACUGUACUUUAUCUAUUAUAAGAUAAAGUAAUAUAAAAAAGAAAAGAAAAAUAUUUCUGAAGCAAGAUAACCUAAUCCUGAGCCGGUUUUUCAUACAAAAUAAAUGGCAGUCAGUAAAAAAUAAGACUUGUCAAGAGAGAAGACAAAGAAAAAUAUAGCAAAGCCAACAGACCACAGAUGAUCAAAACAGGUGUUCUCAGAUAAAAACAGUAAAAUAGCUAUGAUAGAAAUACUUAAGAACAUAGGAUACAAAGCUGGGAAAAGCUAAAUGAAAAGAUGAAAAAUUUUGCCAGAUAAUUGGAACCUAUAAAACUAAAUCAAAUGUAAAGUUUACAAUGAAAAAAAAUUAAAUAAGUGAAAUGAAGAAUUCAAUAAAUAUGUCUACUAGUAGAUUAGAAACAACAGAAUACAAGACUGGUGAACAAGAAGAUGGAACAAUAAGCAAUUUGUAGACUGAAGCACAGAUGGAGAAGAACAAGGAGGAAAAAUUAGGACAGAGCACAAAAUACGUAAAGCUCAGUGAAAGGUCUAACAUAAGAAAAAUUAAAUUAAUGAAAGAGACAGGAAAAAGAAUGAGAAAAAGUAAAUAUCUGCAGAAAUACUGGCCCAAGAUUUUCUAAAACUUAUGUAACUGUAAUCCACAUAUUCAAGAAGCUCAUAACAAUCCAAGCACAAUAAACACACAAAAAAUCCACAUCUAAGCACUUACUAUAAAAUGUCUAAAGAUAACAAAGAAACUCUUAGAAAUACAGCUAGGGCCUAGGGGGGUGGGGUGGAAGGUGGAAAGCUAUAUAAAAACAUACACUUAAAAAUACUAUAAAUAAAUCAAAAUGUAAACCUGAAAUAUGCAAUUAUACUUAGUGAAAGGAAUAGGGAAAAGUACACUACUCUAUAUUCUAGGAAGAAGAAGUUCUUCAUGUUAAAGUAACCCACAAGAAGUCAAGACAAAGAAAACAGAAAUAAGAAACAGAGAAUUGGAAACAGAAGGUAAGUUGCAGAAAAGCUCUAAUAUUUCAAUAAUUAUAUUCAGUGUAAAUUAUCUAAAUACACCAAUUGAAACAAGGAUUGGCAAAGUGGAUUUAAAAAACAGGACUCACCUAUAUAUUAUCUAUAAGAAAUUCAUUUCAAAUAUAAUGAUAUAGGUAGGUUAAAAGUAAAAGGACAAAAUAUAUAUAUCAUGCAAACAACCAUCAAAAGUAAGCAGGGUGGCUAGAUAAUGUAGACUUUAGGGCAAAGAAAAUUGCCAGAUUCAGAGAGGGACAUAUACAAUGACAAAAGGUCCAACCACUAAAAAGUCACAGCAAUUGUAAAUCUGUAUAUACCCUUCCCCCUCCAAAAAAAAGCAGAAAAUAUGUGAAGCAAAAACAGAUAGAACUGAAAGGAAAAAUAGACAAAUCCACAAUUAUACUUGGAGACUUUGAUAUUCCCCCCUUUAAAUAGAUGGAAAAACUACAUAACCAAUCAACAAAGAUAUUAUAGAACUCAACUAAUAGUAUCAAAUCAACAUUUAUCGAGCAUUAUCCCAACAACAGAAGAAUGCUUACUCUUCUCAAGUUCCCAUGGAACAUAGGAUAGACCAUAUGCUGCUUAAAAACAAACCUGAACAUAUUUUUUAAACCACAAUUGUUCUCUAACUGCAAUAGAAUUAAAAGAGAAAUAAGUGACAGAGAGAUUAUAGGAAAUCUCCAAAUUCUUGGAAACUGAACAACACUCUUCUAAAUAAUCUAUGGGUCAAAGAAGUACCAAGGGAAAUUAAAAAACAAACACACUGAACUGAAUGAAAACAGAAGAUAUCAAAAUUUGUAAGACAGUUAAAGAAGUGCUGAGAGGGAAAUUUGCACUGCUAAAUGCCUACAGUAAAAAAGAAGAAAAGUCUCAAGUAAAUUAUCUAAUUCCCACUUCAAG
rnacentral:lncRNA from 1 species